rnacentral:rRNA from 1 species
GAGUUUGAUCCUGGCUCAGGAUGAACGCUGGCGGCGUGCCUAAUACAUGCAAGUCGAGCGAACGGACGAGAAGCUUGCUUCUCUGAUGUUAGCGGCGGACGGGUGAGUAACACGUGGAUAACCUACCUAUAAGACUGGGAUAACUUCGGGAAACCGGAGCUAAUACCGGAUAAUAUUUUGAACCGCAUGGUUCAAAAGUGAAAGACGGUCUUGCUGUCACUUAUAGAUGGAUCCGCGCUGCAUUAGCUAGUUGGUAAGGUAACGGCUUACCAAGGCAACGAUGCAUAGCCGACCUGAGAGGGUGAUCGGCCACACUGGAACUGAGACACGGUCCAGACUCCUACGGGAGGCAGCAGUAGGGAAUCUUCCGCAAUGGGCGAAAGCCUGACGGAGCAACGCCGCGUGAGUGAUGAAGGUCUUCGGAUCGUAAAACUCUGUUAUUAGGGAAGAACAUAUGUGUAAGUAACUGUGCACAUCUUGACGGUACCUAAUCAGAAAGCCACGGCUAACUACGUGCCAGCAGCCGCGGUAAUACGUAGGUGGCAAGCGUUAUCCGGAAUUAUUGGGCGUAAAGCGCGCGUAGGCGGUUUUUUAAGUCUGAUGUGAAAGCCCACGGCUCAACCGUGGAGGGUCAUUGGAAACUGGAAAACUUGAGUGCAGAAGAGGAAAGUGGAAUUCCAUGUGUAGCGGUGAAAUGCGCAGAGAUAUGGAGGAACACCAGUGGCGAAGGCGACUUUCUGGUCUGUAACUGACGCUGAUGUGCGAAAGCGUGGGGAUCAAACAGGAUUAGAUACCCUGGUAGUCCACGCCGUAAACGAUGAGUGCUAAGUGUUAGGGGGUUUCCGCCCCUUAGUGCUGCAGCUAACGCAUUAAGCACUCCGCCUGGGGAGUACGACCGCAAGGUUGAAACUCAAAGGAAUUGACGGGGACCCGCACAAGCGGUGGAGCAUGUGGUUUAAUUCGAAGCAACGCGAAGAACCUUACCAAAUCUUGACAUCCUUUGACAACUCUAGAGAUAGAGCCUUCCCCUUCGGGGGACAAAGUGACAGGUGGUGCAUGGUUGUCGUCAGCUCGUGUCGUGAGAUGUUGGGUUAAGUCCCGCAACGAGCGCAACCCUUAAGCUUAGUUGCCAUCAUUAAGUUGGGCACUCUAAGUUGACUGCCGGUGACAAACCGGAGGAAGGUGGGGAUGACGUCAAAUCAUCAUGCCCUUAUGAUUUGGGCUACACACGUGCUACAAUGGACAAUACAAAGGGCAGCGAAACCGCGAGGUCAAGCAAAUCCCAUAAAGUUGUUCUCAGUUCGGAUUGUAGUCUGCAACUCGACUACAUGAAGCUGGAAUCGCUAGUAAUCGUAGAUCAGCAUGCUACGGUGAAUACGUUCCCGGGUCUUGUACACACCGCCCGUCACACCACGAGAGUUUGUAACACCCGAAGCCGGUGGAGUAACCUUUUAGGAGCUAGCCGUCGAAGGUGGGACAAAUGAUUGGGGUGAAGUCGUAACAAGGUAGCCGUAUCGGAAGGUGCGGCUGGAUCACC